rnacentral:rRNA from 1 species
GGAGUUAGCCGGUGCUUCUUCUGUGAGUGAUGUCCUUCCUGCCGGCUAUUAACCCGCAGGCCUUCUUCCUCACUGAAAGUGCUUUACAACCCGAAGGCCUUCUUCACACACGCGGCAUGGCUGGAUCAGGGUUGCCCCCAUUGUCCAAUAUUCCCCACUGCUGCCUCCCGUAGGAGUCUGGGCCGUGUCUCAGUCCCAGUGUGGCUGAUCAUCCUCUCAGACCAGCUACGGAUCGUCGCCUUGGUGAGCCGUUACCUCACCAACCAGCUAAUCCGACAUAGGCUCAUCCGAUAGCGCGAGGCCCGAAGGUCCCCCGCUUUCCCCCGUAGGGCGUAUGCGGUAUUAGCCUGGGUUUCCCCAGGUUAUCCCCCACUACCGGGCAGAUUCCUAUGCAUUACUCACCCGUCCGCCGCUCGCCACCAGGGAGCAAGCUCCCCGUGCUGCCGCUCGACUUGCAUGUGUAGCUCGCCGCCACGCGUCAUCUGAGCCACUAACUACAACUACUCGA